GUGCUCGCUUCAGCAGCACAUAUAUGAAAAUUGGAACGAUACAGAGAUUAGCAUGGCCCCUGCUCAAGGAUGACAUGCAAAUUCAUGAAGCAUUCCAUAUUUUA